CAAAGUAUAGCUUAACCAAAGCCUCUCGCUUACACCAAGACAAUAUCUGUUGAACUCGGAUUACUUUGA
rnacentral:tRNA from 1 species